CUUUUAUCUCCCUAAAUAUGUCUUUCAUAUUCCCAUUGCAAUACUUACUCCCAAACAAAUAUAUUUCAUUUUUCAGAGUCUCUCUGUGUGUGUGUCUGUUAUUUAGGUUUUGACACAAUUUGGUGUCAGAAGUGAGACUGAAGCUGGUUCACCUUGGACAGCUUGGCAACCCCUGAAAUACAGUGAACUGCCUGUGCUGAGCCCUUUUGAGCUCUCUACCUCCAUGACUCACCUUUUAUGCCCUGGUGAAUUUCCUCUCAGAUUCCUAGACUCCUCUUUUUGAAUGCUGGCCCAGCACUUUGAGAUGAUAAUCAAUGUUUAGGGAACAGACAAAAUUAAACAUAACAAUGGUCUGCAGUACCAGCUUUGUCAGUUACAUGUGUUCUUGGACAAGUUAUUUUACUUCUCUGAACUCAGUUUUCUCAUUCAUAAAGAGGAAAUUAUAAUCUCUGUCUUAUGGGUUUGUUUAAAGGACUAGAAUGAAUAUAUGCAAAGCUCUUGGCAGAAAUAAGAACUAAAUGAAGACAGAAGAGAUGGAAGUCAAUAUAAUGAGUAAGUCAAACGACACUCGAGUUGGGUCUUGGAAGGAAAGUGGCAUUCACAUAGGUAGAGGUAGAAAGAAAAGAGAUUUCAACCAUAGUGAGUGUGAACAAAGAGGAAGCCACAGUACAGUGUGAUGUGUGCAAUUGCUGAAAAUUGUGCAUAGAUUUGACAGCAGUAGUAGAGUUCUCCUUCAAGAGGAGCAGUGGCAGAAAAAGGACUGGAAGGAAGGAUGGACUCAGACACAGAGAGCCACAGAACCCAGGCAAGAGGCCUGUGCCUCCUUGGAGUCCACCAUGUGCUGCCCUGCUGUUGUCUGGGCAUUUGGUGAAAGUCAAUAUUGCCCUGCUCAGGACCAAGUGAUCUUGCUAGCAUUGGCACUGCUUGGAUGUGCCUGAUGCUCCCAGAACCUCUAUCACUCAGGAAAUUACAAGGGUUUCUUAGAAGCUCUGUACCAAUACUGGGGCAAAAGCCAAAUAUAUAUUUAUUUCUUCUUUCAUAUAUAGAGAGAAAGAUGGGAUUUUGCUUGUUGCUCAGGCUGGUCUUGAACUACUCCUGGCCCCAUGCAAUCCUCCUCUUGGCCUCCCAAAGUGCUGAGA